ensembl:lncRNA
GAGGUGGUUGAAGGUCGUUGAAUCGAGGUGGUUGAUGUUCCUUGGGUCGAGGUGGUUGAUGUUUGUUGGGUCGAGGUGGUUGAUGUUCGUUGGGUCGAGGUGGUUGAUGUUUGUUGGGUCGAGGUGGUUGAUGUUUGUUGGGUCGAGGUGGUUGAAGGUCGGUGGGUUGAGGUGGUUGAAGGUCGUUGAAUCGAGGUGGUUGAAGGUCGGUGAGUCGAGGUGGUUGAUGUUCGUUGGGUCGAAGUGGUUGAUGUUUGUUGGGUCGAGGUGGUUGAUGUUUGUUGGGUUGAGGUGGUUAAUGUUCGUUGGGUCGAGGUGGUUGAUGUUUGUUGGGUCGAGGUGGUUGAUGUUCGUUCAGUCGAGGUGGUUGAUGUUUGUUGGGUCGUGGUGGUUGAUGUUCGUUG